CAAAAAAACGUUCCUCAUAUUGUAUUCACAUUGGUACUGCAAUAACUUAGGAAAAAAUGGUGAAAUUAUUGUUUGUCCUGAUGUUCCUUGUACUUACCUACCAGGCUGAAGGAUGGGUUUUCAGAAGAAUUAGAAUUAGAAUAAAUCCCACUAAAAACUGUUUUUGUAAAGCUGUCGAAGCAGAUACACAUAGAAUACUUCACGAUUUUGGAUCAAUCCAAAGGUGUACCCGCUUGAUUAGUUGUCGUUGUGGACACACAGCAAUGGUAACAUGUGGUGACCAGUGUGAUAGAAGAGUUACCAAUUGGUUAAAAACAAAUGGAGGGAAAUGUCAAUAUGCUAGGUCAUUCUAUACAGCAAGCACAUGUGGAUCGCCUACAUAUGGCCAUCAUAGAAAGACUUGUUAAGCCUAUACUACAGCAUUCAACACUGUGAAUUUGGAUUGUUUGAUAAAUAAACAAUACAAAUGAAAACUUU